rnacentral:rRNA from 1 species
CCUACGGGAGGCAGCAGUGGGGAAUAUUGGACAAUGGGGGGAACCCUGAUCCAGCGACGCCGCGUGAGUGAAGAAGUACUUCGGUAUGUUAAGCUCCAUUAGCAGGGAAGAAAAUGAAGGUACCUGACUAAGAAGCCUCGGCCAACUUCGUGCCAGCCGCCGGGGUAAUACGUAGGGGGCCGGAGUUAUCCGGAUUUACCGGGUGGAAAGGGAGAGUAGGCGGUGCAGCAAGUCUGAUGUGAAAGGUUGGGGCCCAACCCCGGGGUUGCAUUGAAAACUGUAGAACUUGAGUACAGGAGAGGUAGGCGGAAUUCCUAGUGUAGCGGUGAAAUGCGUAGAUAUUAGGAGGAACACCAGUGGCGAAGGCGGCUUACUGGGCUGUAACUGACGCUGAGGCUCGAAAGCGUGGGGAGCAAACAGGAUUAGAUACCCGUGUAGUC